rnacentral:misc_RNA from 1 species
ACAUGGAUCAGCUGUGGAUCAGGGUUUCCCCAUUGUCCAAAAUUCCCCACUGCUGCCUCCGUAGGAGUCAGGCCCGUCAUAUGAUCCAGUGUGGCUGGUCCGUCCUCUCAAACCAGCUACGGAUCGUCGCCUUGAGCGAGCCAUUACCCACCCAGCUAGCUAAUCCGAUAUCGGCCGCUCCUAAUAGUGCGAGGCCCGAAAGGUCCCCCGCUUUCCCCGAAGGGCGGUAUGCCGUGUAUUAGCUACGCUUUCGCGUAGUUAACCCCGCUACUAGGCACGUUCCGAUACAUUACUCACCCGUUCGCCCUCGCCCACCAGACCGAAGUCCGUGCUGCCGUUCGACUUGCAUGUGCUUAAAGCAUCCCGCCAGCGUUCAAUCUGAGCCAGAAUCAAACU